rnacentral:rRNA from 1 species
AGCAGUAGCCGCGGGAAUACGAAGGGGGCUAGCGUUGUUCGGAUUCAUUGGGCGUAAAGGGUGUGUAGGAGGUCGGGUUAGUCUUGCGUGAAAUCUCAGAGCUUAACUCUGAAACUGCGCUUGAUACUGCCCGGCUAGAGGAUCGGAGGGGGUAACGGAAUUCAUGGUGUAGCAGUGAAAUGCGUAGAUAUCAUGAGGAACACCGGUGGCGAAGGCGGUUACCUGGAAGAUUCCUGACUCUGAAACACGAAAGCCAGGGGAGCAAACGGGAUUAGAUACCCCAGUAGUCCCUGUCUCUUAUAC